rnacentral:lncRNA from 1 species
GGUCGAAUUAUUCGCUGGCGAUUGUCAAUCCGUCAGUCGCCAGGAACCAUCUAUUUUGCCCUGGAAACUACAGUUUCAUUGCAAAAAUGGAGGAUUCAAAGAGUAGUGACCAGCUAUUAUGUCCGUGUGGGUUUUACGGGUAAGAAUAAGGAAGAUCGGUGGGAAAUAAACCGAUUUUUCUUUCAUUAAUUGUUCAGACCAGUUCAUUUGUUGACAAGUGUUGACGCAUCAUCGCAUGUCAACAUCUGUAAAUCUUUAGCAGAUAACAGCAUGAUUAUUCCCAUUUGUUCAAAUACAAUUGAUUCUCACCGUAAUGUUAAUGGGUAACAAUUCUAUGGGCC